GAUACCCUGGUAGUCCAUGCCGUAAACGUUGGGCGCUAGAUGUAGGGACCUUUCCACGGUUUCUGUGUCGUAGCUAACGCAUUAAGCGCCCCGCCUGGGGAGUACGGCCGCAAGGCUAAAACUCAAAGGAAUUGACGGGGGCCCGCACAAGCGGCGGAGCAUGCGGAUUAAUUCGAUGCAACGCGAAGAACCUUACCAAGGCUUGACAUACACCGGAAACGGCCAGAGAUGGUCGCCCCCUUGUGGUCGGUGUACAGGUGGUGCAUGGUUGUCGUCAGCUCGUGUCGUGAGAUGUUGGGUUAAGUCCCGCAACGAGCGCAACCCUCGUUCUAUGUUGCCAGCGGGUUAUGCCGGGGACUCAUAGGAGACUGCCGGGGUCAACUCGGAGGAAGGUGGGGAUGACGUCAAAUCAUCAUGCCCCUUAUGUCUUGGGCUUCACGCAUGCUACAAUGGCCGGUACAAAGGGCUGCGAUACCGUAAGGUGGAGCGAAUCCCAAAAAGCCGGUCUCAGUUCGGAUUGAGGUCUGCAACUCGACCUCAUGAAGUCGGAGUCGCUAGUAAUCGCAGAUCAGCAACGCUGCGGUGAAUACGUUCCCGGGCCUUGUACACACCGCCCGUCACUUCAUGAAAGUCGGUAACACCCGAAGCCGGUGGC
rnacentral:rRNA from 1 species